AUUGAACGCUGGCGGCAGGCCUAACACAUGCAAGUCGAGCGGAUGAAGGGAGCUUGCUCCUGGAUUCAGCGGCGGACGGGUGAGUAAUGCCUAGGAAUCUGCCUGGUAGUUGGGGAUAACGUCCGGAAACGGGCGCUAAUACCGCAUACGUCCUGAUGUAGAAAGUGGGGGAUCUUCGGACCUCACGCUAUCAGAUGAACCUAGGUCGGAUUAGCUAGUUGGUGGGGUAAAGGCCUACCAAGGCGACGAUCCGUAACUGGUCUGAGAGGAUGAUCAGUCACACUGGAACUGAGACACGGUCCAGACUCCUACGGGAGGCAGCAGUGGGGAAUAUUGGACAAUGGGCGAAAGCCUGAUGCAGCCAUGCCGCGUGUGUGAAGAAGGUCUUCGGAUUGUAAAGCACUUUAAGUUGGGAGGAAGGGCAGUAAGUUAAUACCUUGCUGUUUUGACGUUACCAACAGAAUAAGCACCGGCUAACUUCGUG
rnacentral:rRNA from 1 species